ACAAAGUACAAAUAAAUUGAGUA
rnacentral:snRNA from 1 species